UUUCUACUCCCUCCGUCCGAAAAUACUUGUCAUCAAAAUGGAUAAAAAGAAAUGUAUCUAAAACUAAAAUACGUCUAGAUACAUUUCCUUUUAUCCAUUUUGAUGACAAGUAUUUCCGGACGGAGGGAGUAUUUG
rnacentral:pre_miRNA from 1 species